GACGAACGCUGGCGGCGUGCUUAACACAUGCAAGUCGAACGGAAAGGCCCUGCUUUUGUGGGGUGCUCGAGUGGCGAACGGGUGAGUAACACGUGAGUAACCUGCCCUUUACUUUGGGAUAACUUCAGGAAACUGGGGCUAAUACCGGAUAGGAGCUCCUGCUGCAUGGUGGGGGUUGGAAAGUUUCGGCGGUUGGGGAUGGACUCGCGGCUUAUCAGCUUGUUGGUGGGGUAGUGGCUUACCAAGGCUUUGACGGGUAGCCGGCCUGAGAGGGUGACCGGCCACAUUGGGACUGAGAUACGGCCCAGACUCCUACGGGAGGCAGCAGUGGGGAAUAUUGCACAAUGGGCGGAAGCCUGAUGCAGCAACGCAGCGUGCGGGAUGACGGCCUUCGGGUUGUAAACCGCUUUCGCCUGUGACGAAGCGUGAGUGACGGUAAUGGGUAAAGAAGCACCGGCUAACUACGUG
rnacentral:rRNA from 1 species